rnacentral:rRNA from 1 species
UUCGGAAUAACUCAGGGAAACUUGAACUAAUACCGGAUACGCCCUUCGGGGAAAGAUUUAUCGCCGAAAGAUCGGCCCGCGUCUGAUUAGCUAGUUGGUGAGGUAAUGGCUCACCAAGGCGACGAUCAGUAGCUGGUCUGAGAGGAUGAUCAGCCACAUUGGGACUGAGACACGGCCCAAACUCCUACGGGAGGCAGCAGGG